GAAGAUCAAAAGUUGAAAAGGUUUUGCCAAAUACGGCAUUGUUUGUAUGCCCGGGAUAAGAACAUUCUUAUUAUAUAGAACAAUUCAUGCUAUUGCAAACAGUAAAUUUUAUCAAAUGAAUAUGAAAGAGAUAUACAUAAUCGAUCAUAAUCAUGAUAACGAAACUGAAGUAUUAACUAAUUACAGAAAACUAAACCCGAAUACAUAACGCCCAGAUAUAAAAGAUCGAAAGUGAAAAAAGUACAAAGUUGUACAGCACUGAAGAUCAAAAGUUGAAAAGGUUUUGCCAAAUACGGCAUUGUUUUUAUGCCCGGGAUAAGAACACUUUUAUAUAGAACGAUUCAUGCUAUUGCAAACAGUAAAUUUUAACAAAUGAAUGUGAAAGAUAUAUUCAUAAUGAAACUGAAGUAUUAACUUAUUACAGAAAACUAAACCCGAAUACAUGAUGCCAAGUUCAAUACAGCAUAGACACACCCGAAUCAAUCCAGGCGUCAACGCAAUUAAAAAAAAAAAAAAAAAAAAAAUGACGUCACAUACGAUGGUGAAAAGGCAAACGUUAUGCUACAUAUGAAUUUAUGAAAUUUAGAAACAGCAUGACGUCACAC
rnacentral:lncRNA from 1 species